rnacentral:rRNA from 1 species
ACGAGGAAGGGAUUCGUCCCGAGUAUGAGUGGCGGACGGGUGAGUAACACGUGGAUAAUCUGCCCUUCGGUGGGGAAUAACCAGUCGAAAGAUUGGCUAAUACCGCAUAAGACCACAAGAGCUGCGGCUCAAGGGGUUAAAGGUUUUUCGCCGAUGGAUGAGUCCGCGUCCGAUUAGCUAGUUGGUGAGGUAAUGGCUCACUAAGGCUUUGAUCGGUAGCUGGUCUGAGAGGAUGACCAGUCACACUGGAACUGAGACACGGUCCAGACUCCUACGGGAGGCAGCAGUAGGGAAUUUUGCACAAUGGACGAAAGUCUGAUGCAGCGACGCCGCGUGAGUGAUGAAGGCCUUCGGGUUGUAAAGCUCUGUUCUAGGGGAAAAAGUUCUGAUGGUACCCUAGAAGAAAGGAUCGGCUAACUUCGUGCCAGCAGCCGCGGUAAGACGAGGGAUCCAAGCGUUGUUCGGAAUCAUUGGGCGUAAAGCGGGAGUAGGUGGUUGGACAUGUCAGAAGUGAAAGCCCUGGGCUUAACCCAGGAAGUGCUUUUGAAACUGUUCAACUUGAGUGCCGGAGAGGUUGCUAGAAUACCUGGUGUAGUGGUGAAAUACGUAGAUAUCAGUGGAAUUCCGGAGAGGAAGCUGGGUAACUGGCCGGACACUGACACUCAUCCCCGAAAGCGUGGGGAUCAAACACGAUUAGAUACCCUGGUAGUCCACGCCGUAACGAUGGAUACUGGUGUUGGAGGUAUUGACCCCUUCAGUGCCGAGCUACGCGUAGUAUCCCGCCUGGG